GGCAAUUCCUAUGAAUCCCUUUGCAAUUUCAACAUCUCUGAAUAUGCCUGUUCCUCAACAACUCUUCCGUCAGCGGACAACUUGGUGACGAUCCUGAAAUGCCAAUUGUCGAGCAAAAAGACUUACUCAACAGAAAUGUGGAAGCUGUUCUUCCAAAACAAUGCUGCUGUUCUGGACCAGGCUCUUCUGAAUUACUCCAGCAUGAACCCCAACAUCAGCAGUCCAGCUAUGCCACAGGUCCUUGAUGCCAUUGGAGAUGUCAAAAUCAACAACUUCAUUAAUGCACAGCUGAACGACGCCAGUUUCGUGGACAAGUUGUUCCAGAAGAU